rnacentral:rRNA from 1 species
GGAUGAGCCCGCGGCCUAUCAGCUUGUUGGUGGGGUAAUGGCCCACCAAGGCGACGACGGGUAGCCGGCCUGAGAGGGCGACCGGCCACACUGGGACUGAGACACGGCCCAGACUCCUACGGGAGGCAGCAGUGGGGAAUAUUGCACAAUGGGCGAAAGCCUGAUGCAGCGACGCCGCGUGAGGGAUGACGGCCUUCGGGUUGUAAACCUCUUUCAGCAGGGAAGAAGCGAAAGUGACGGUACCUGCAGAAGAAGCGCCGGCUAACUACGUGCCAGCAGCCGCGGUAAUACGUAGGGCGCAAGCGUUGUCCGGAAUUAUUGGGCGUAAAGAGCUCGUAGGCGGCCUGUCACGUCGGAUGUGAAAGCCCGAGGCUUAACCUCGGGUCUGCAUUCGAUACGGGCUAGCUAGAGUGUGGUAGGGGAGAUCGGAGUUCCUGGUGUAGCGGUGAAAUGCGCAGAUAUCAGGAGGAACACCGGUGGCGAAGGCGGAUCUCUGGGCCAUUACUGACGCUGAGGAGCGAAAGCGUGGGGAGCGAACAGGAUUAGAUACCCUGGUAGUCCACGCCGUAAACGUUGGGAACUAGGUGUUGGCGACAUUCCACGUCGUCGGUGCCGCAGCUAACGCAUUAAGUUCCCCGC